UGAUUAUGGCUCAGAUUGAACGCUGGCGGGAUGUUUUACCGUGCAGAGUCUGGGAACGGCAGCACGGACUUUCGGUCUGGUGGCGAGUGGCGAACGGGUGAGUAAUGUAUCGGAACGAUACCUAGUAGCGGGGGAUAACCGCGCCGAAGCGCCAUGGCCUACCGCAUACGCCCGACAAGGGGAAAGCAGGGGACAACUGGGCCUCGCACUAUUAGAGCAGCCGAUAUCGGAUUAGCUAGUUGGUGGAGUAACGGCUCACCAGAGCGACGUCCGUAGCUGGUUUGAGAGGACGACUUCAGCCACACUGGGACUGAGACACGGCCCAGACUCCACGGGAGGCAGCAGUGGGGAAUUUUGGACAAUGGGGGAAACCCUGAUCCAGCCAUCCCGCGUGUGCGAUGAAGGCCUUCCGGGUUGUAAAGCACUUUUGGCAGGAAAGAAACGGCGCAGGAUAGCCCGUGCAACUGACGGUACCUGCAGAAUAAGCACCGGCUAACUACGUGCCAGCAGCCGCGGUGGCCGUGAGGUGCAAGCGUUAAUCGGAAUUACUGGGCGUAAAGCGUGCGCGAGCGGUUCGGAAGAAGAUGUGAAAUCCCAGAGCUUAACUUUGGAACUGCAUUUUUAACUACCAGUAAAGUGUGUCAGAGGAGGUGGAAUUCCGCGUGUAGCAGUGAAAUGCGUAGAUAUGCGGAGGGGAACACCGAUGGCGAAGGCAGCCUCCUGGGAUAUGCAGCGCUCGUGCGCGAAAGCGUGGGAGCAAGCAGGAUUAGAUACCCUGGUGAUCCACGCCCUAAACGAUAUCAACCAGCUGUUGGGAGCCUUCAGGCCUUGGUAGCGCAGCUAACGCGUAGAAGUUGACCGCCUGGGAAAUACGAUUAUGAUUCAGCUCAAAGGUGGCGGGGACCACACAAGCGGUGGAUGAUGUGGAUUAAUUCGAUGCAACGCGAAAAAAUAACACCUACCCUUGACAUGUCUGGAAUCCCGAAGAGAUUUGAGGAGUGCUCGCAAAGAGAACCGGAACACAGGUGCUGCAUAGGCUGUCGUCAGCUCGUGUCGUGAGAUGUUGGGUUGAUCCCGCAACGAGCGCAACCCUUGUCAUUGGAUUACAACUACGAGGGGGCACUCUAAUGAGACUGCCGUGACAAACCGGAGGAAGGUGGGGAUGACGUCAGAGUCCUCAUGGCCCUUAUGGGUAGGGCUUCACACGUCAUACAAAUGGUCGGGACAGAGGUGUAACCACGAAAGGGGAGCCAAUCCCAAACCCGAUCGUAGUCCCGGAUCGCAGUCUGCAACUCGACUGCGUGAAGUCGGAAUCGCUAGUAAUCGCGGAUCAGCAUGUCGCGGUAGACCACACGUUUCCCGGGUCUUGUACACACCGCCCGUCACACCAUGGGAGUGGGUUUUACCAGAAGUAGUUAGCCUAACCGUAAGGAGGGCGAUUACCACGGUAGGAUUCAUGACUGGGGUGAAGUCGUAGCAAGGUAA
rnacentral:rRNA from 1 species